rnacentral:rRNA from 1 species
UUGACCUCGGAUCANGUAGGACUACCCGCUGAACUUAAG